rnacentral:rRNA from 1 species
AUUGAACGCUGGCGGCAUGCCUUACACAUGCAAGUCGAACGGCAGCACGGGAGCUUGCUCCUGGUGGCGAGUGGCGAACGGGUGAGUAAUACAUCGGAACGUACCCUGAAGUGGGGGAUAACGUAGCGAAAGUUACGCUAAUACCGCAUAUUCUGUGAGCAGGAAAGAGGGGGAUCGCAAGACCUCUUGCUUUAGGAGCGGCCGAUGUCGGAUUAGCUAGUUGGUGAGGUAAAGGCUCACCAAGGCGACGAUCCGUAGCGGGUCUGAGAGGAUGAUCCGCCACACUGGGACUGAGACACGGCCCAGACUCCUACGGGAGGCAGCAGUGGGGAAUUUUGGACAAUGGGCGCAAGCCUGAUCCAGCCAUCGCCGCGUGAGU